ACGCUCGACACCUACGGGAAGGCAGCAGUGGGGAAUAUUGCACAAUGGGGGAAACCCUGAUGCAGCGACGCCGCGUGAGUGAAGAAGUAAUUCGUUAUGUAAAGCUCUAUCAGCAGGGAAGAAAGUGACGGUACCUGAGUAAGAAGCCCCGGCUAACUACGUACCAGCAGCCGCGGUAAUCUGGAGCGGGCUGGCAAGGC
rnacentral:rRNA from 1 species